CAUUCUUUCUUGAAAGCAGCGCACGGAUUGAGAUAUAGUUGGGGACACAAAGGUACCUCAAGCAUCUUUGGGAAAAUAAAAUCAAGUGCGCCAUAUUACCCCAGCAGCGGAGAAAUAGACCUGAUGCAGUACCACAAGGGCAGUACCAGUAAUUUCUAUAACAGAGUGGUCGCCGCCGAAUGUGAUGUGAAGGAUUUGGUGUUCAAAGUUAGAGACAGUUACACUAUUAAUUAUGGUAGUUGCUAAUCAACAAAUGGAUCUUGGGUGUCAUCUUCAAAUUUGAGAUAUUUCCACAGAACCACAAACCAGGAUCUACACUCUAAUGACUGAUGCUUUCUUUUCAAUUUUGAAACCAGGAAAAAAUGUUAAUUUUGCAUGGCAUUCUCCCUUCUUUGAACCAGUUUUGUAAAAAACAGUCACUGAAAUAAGAGAAAGUCGUGGGCAAAAUAAAUAUUUGAAAUAUUACCGGUA